ensembl:lincRNA
UCUCAGGGUCUCCAGGGUUAGCCUAUGACUAAGCCUAAGACCUGUGCAUUUUUACUCUUUAUUUUUGACUGUCACCUCUCCCUCAGUCACUUUGUUUUUAGAUUAACAGACCAAUGAAUACACAACCUUUACCUUGAGCAAAUACACACGGCUGUUUGAUCCUGUCAGACAUUCACACACAAACUCACAACGACUCUCUUGCUGUCCUGCUUGACUGCCUGGUAAAUCUAGUUCACGAGUAAUGAUAGGAAAUCAAAUCUUUUAAACAUCUGAGUGAGUGAAGAAGUGAUUUGAUUUCUACCACAAAAGCCCAUCCUGUCCUGAAAGUUUGCUCUGCCCGAAGUCGGUAAUAUGAAGAAGCCAGCAGCACACAGAAAAGCAGAGAAGCAUACAUUAUGGGAAACCAACUGACUGGUAUUGAAACAGCGCUGGCACAUCCUUUGCGUUGACAUGAAUCACUCCAAAAACACUUUGAUGUGGGGUUGGUUCUCCUCUUCGGUGCUUGACGUGUGGUGGUGGUCCGGCCAGAGAAAUCCUUCCACGCAGAUCAGAACACAAGGUGUGCGUCGUGACUCCUGCCGGAACCACAGAGCCAGCUGUGGAUAUACAUUCAGAUUCCCUUCAUUAAGUCAAAACCUCAACUCCACCCUCCAGCUGCUAAUUACAAACUCAGUAUAGGACGGGCAGAUUUUAGUUUGGCGUUUUCUUCCUUCUACCCAAUCGAUUCCCGCCAUUGAAUACUGUGAUUGAUUGGUGUUUGACCACUGGCCUGACGUUUUGAUUUGAGUGCUCUUACUUUGCCAGAUAGACCCAUGAUGCAGGGAUACAGUACUUCAUUAGAGUUAUGGGUAGGAGUUCCAUAUGGCAGGUCCCCAACAUUGUGGAAUCUUUCCAGUAACUGAGCAGUUAAUGAUUAUGGGGACACCCCCCUGAGGAGCUCUCGCUGCUGGGGGGGGAGGGGAAUUAGGUGAAGGCAAUAGCUCAUUAAGACAACACCCUAUUGUCCUAGUAUUAUUGUGACAGUAAUGAGCUGAGAAUUUUCUCCUGCUGUAAUGACAAGCAUGUGACAGCACAAUCACAUUAAAGACGGCCAUCGCAUGCUUUGUGUGAGGGCAUGGAUUACUAUCAACGUGGGGUCAAGUUUCAAGACAACACUCCCCACAAAGAUGAAAAACACACAAUGUGAGCAUGUCCCUGUAAUGUAAAUGACUUUUUUUUUACAAACCAAAUGGCCUCUUUUUUUACAUCUAAAUAUACCCAAACUAUGUGGUUAGGGUCACGUUUUCAUUCUGUGUGAAACAGUAAAUAAAUAAAAACAAAGUGGUGUCUGACAAGGAGAUGCCCCAGAAACACAGGUCUGCAAGCUCUUGUCACCAAGUAUAGAUUCCCCAGUUAAAGUCAUAUGGGAAUAGACCAUUCUUUCUUUAUUUUGUUUGUGAAUUUAUUGUUGUGUUUUUGCUAUGGUUUCAUUUAAUUUCUGCUGAAGUUUCCCGUGUCUUUAAUAUGGCUUAGCCAUGCUUCUCUAUACUAGACCGCAGGGAUACCAUGAUGUCCCAUCAUAGAUGUUAGCAAGGAAUGGUUACUGUAGUGUAUCCGGGCUUUCCAUAUACAUAUAGUUCAGUACAGUAAAGCACCUUGGGGGACCAGUGCAAAAUAAAUAUAAAACCCCAGUAAAGGUACAAGGAUACUAUGAUCAGCUUUAGAAAAAAGUGUGCAUCUCUGACUCUAAAGACUUGGACAGUCCAAUGCUCUUAUUAAACUGAAUCAAGUGGGCUGAAUAUGAGAAGACUGCUGGAAUUCUCAAAGGAAGUCUGGUAACACUUUACACGUGAGGGUUUGGCGAUGAUUAUAUGUUACUCUAUAUACAUACGGACUGGUUUCUGAGUUUUCGGCUUGAUGCAAUUUAAGCUUUGCAUGCUUACUGUGCAGUACGGGCAUUGUGUAAGACUCUUUCUAUUCCUAGAACAAUAAAAUAAAGAGCAAUCGCAGAUGUUGCUAUGAUUUGUCACAAGGUUUCCAAAUUCUGUUUUAAUAGUCUACACCCUUCACUUGUACUUUUUCAAGUCUAAAGUCUUUCUUUUAUGACAUAGACAUCUUUAUCAAAUUGUCAUGCCUUGUCUCUUAGUAUUUCCAUUUCUAACUCGUAUGUAUGACCUGUCUUGUUCUAAUCUAUUUCCAGUUGCA